rnacentral:rRNA from 1 species
CCUACGGGAGGCUGCAGUGAGGAAUAUUGGUCAAUGGACGAGAGUCUGAACCAGCCAAGUAGCGUGAAGGAUGACUGCCCUAUGGGUUGUAAACUUCUUUUAUAAAGGAAUAAAACGAGGCACGUGUGCCUUUUUGCAUGUACUUUAUGAAUAAGGAUCGGCUAACUCCGAGCCAGCAGCCGCGGUAAUACGGAGGAUCCGAGCGUUAUCCGGAUUGAUUGGGUUUAAAGGGAGCGUAGAUGGGUUGUUAAGUCAGUUGUGAAAGUUUGCGGCUCAACCGUAAAAUUGCAAUUGAUACUGGCAGUCUUGAGUACAGUUGAGGUAGGCGGAAUUCGUGGUGUAGCGGUGAAAUGCUUAGAUAUCACGAAGAACCCCGAUUGCGAAGGCAGCUUACUAAACUGUGCCUGACAUUGAUGCUCGACAGUGUGGGUAUCAAACAGGAUUAGAUACCCUUGUCGUC